rnacentral:tRNA from 1 species
GGCUCCGUAGCUCAAUGGAUAGAGCAAUUGCCUUCUAAGCAAUAGGUUGAUGGUUCGAUCCCAUCCGGAGUCA